UACGUAGGGUGCAAGCGUUGUCCGGAAUUAUUGGGCGUAAAGAGCUCGUAGGCGGUUUGUCGCGUCUGCUGUGAAAAUCCAGGGCUUAACCCUGGACCUGCAGUGGGUACGGGCAGACUGGAGUGCGGUAGGGGAGAUCGGAAUUCCUGGUGUAGCGGUGAAAUGCGCAGAUAUCAGGAGGAACACCGGUGGCGAAGGCGGAUCUCUGGGCCUUACCUGACGCUGAGGCGCGAAAGCUAGGGGAGCAAACAGG
rnacentral:rRNA from 1 species